rnacentral:rRNA from 1 species
UGGGGAAUAUUGGACAAUGGGGGCAACCCUGAUCCAGCCAUGCCGCGUGAGUGAUGAAGGCCUUCGGGUUGUAAAGCUCUUUUGGCGGGGACGAUGAUGACGGUACCCGCAGAAUAAGCCCCGGCUAACUUCGUGCCAGCAGCCGCGGUGAGACGAAGGGGGGCUAGCGUUGUUCGGAAUUACUGGGCGUAAAGCGAGUGUAGGCGGUUGCCGUAGUCAGGUGUGAAAGCCUUGAGCUCAACUCAAGAAAUGCACUUGAUACUGGGUGACUAGAGGACCGGAGAGGAUAGUGGAAUUCCCAGUGUAGUGGUGAAAUACGUAGAGAUUGGGAAGAACACCAGUGGCGAAGGCGGCUAUCUGGACGGUUACUGACGCUAAGACUCGAAAGCGUGGGGAGCAAACAGGAUUAGAUACCCUGGUAGUCCACGCCGUAAACGAUGGGUGCUAGACGUUGGCGAGCUUGCUCGUCAGUGUCGCAGCUAACGCGUUAAGCACCCCGCCUGGGGAGUACGGCCGCAAGGGUUGAAACUUAAAGGAAUUGACGGGGGUCAUAGCUGUUU